rnacentral:rRNA from 1 species
UACGUAGGGUGCAAGCGUUAAUCGGAAUUACUGGGCGUAAAGCGUGCGCAGGCGGUUGUGCAAGACAGAUGUGAAAUCCCCGGGCUCAACCUGGGAACUGCAUUUGUGACUGCAUAGCUGGAGUGCGGCAGAGGGGGAUGGAAUUCCGCGUGUAGCAGUGAAAUGCGUAGAUAUGCGGAGGAACACCGAUGGCGAAGGCAAUCCCCUGGGCCUGCACUGACGCUCAUGCACGAAAGCGUGGGGAGCAAACAGG